rnacentral:rRNA from 1 species
UACAGAGGGGGCAAGCGUUGUUCGGAAUUACUGGGCGUAAAGGGCUCGUAGGUGGCCAACUAAGUCAGACGUGAAAUCCCUCAGCUUAACUGGGGAACUGCGUCUGAUACUGGACGGCUUGAGUUUGGGAGAGGGAUGCGGAAUUCCAGGUGUAGCGGUGAAAUGCGUAGAUAUCUGGAGGAACACCGGUGGCGAAGGCGGCAUCCUGGACCAACACUGACACUGAGGAGCGAAAGCCAGGGGAGCAAACGGG